rnacentral:lncRNA from 1 species
GAAGAAAAGGGUCAAAACCCCUUUUAUAAACAACCCCUCAACACUAUUCAACUUUCAGCUCAGAUACAGAUAUUUUUCGCCUGUCCUUCUGAAUGUCCGUUUGAGCUCAAAUUUGACAGUCAGGCUCGGUUUUACUUAACUUGACGAAAGAAAUUUUAAUCUUUUAGUUUCGACUCUAUUUGGUCACCGAAAGCUCUACCGAACUGUAAUCUCUAGCAGAUAGUAGUCGGAUUUUAUUUUUCACCUUCCGGGUGUCAGAAUGACAUGAAACUUUAAAUCUAGCCUCAUAAAAAUAAUUCUGAUAUAUUCUCUAGUUUUCAUAAUUUUCUGACACUGUGCAUUUUCUGCUAAAAUAUCAGCCCUGUUUCUCACAGAAAAUUUUAAAUUUUUUGUUUUAAUUUUGAUUUCAGCACAAGUCACUUCUAACUUAUAUUUUACUUCUCUAAAUCCAAUAAAAAUAGCAUCUCACACUAUUUUUAUUUAUUUUUACUUUUAUAUCAAAUUCGGUAUGUUACACGGGUUACGAGGCGGGGCGGAUCAUGGGAUGUAUUUUUUAACCCAUCACGGAUUCGGGACGGGAGGCGGGGCGGGA